rnacentral:lncRNA from 1 species
CCUCAGCCUCAGGACCACUCUGUGUCAUAAGUGAUUCUACUAUUUGACAGAUGCAAAAGUGAGCCUCCAAUGAAGUAAAAAUUUUGGUGGGUGGGGCCAAACACAGUGGCACACGCCUGUAAUCCCAGUGGCUGGGGAGGCUGAGGCAGAAAAAUCAUGAGUUCAAAGCCAGGCUUAGCAAUUCAGAGAGACCCUUUCUCUAAAUAAAAUAUAUGAAAAGGACUGGGGAUGUGGCUCAGUGCCCUGGGGUUCAAUCCCUGGUACCAAAAAAAAAUUUUUUUUGGUUGGUGGGAAGUGCCAGGGAUUGAACCCAGGGCAUUAUGCCUGCUAAGCAUGCCCUCAAUAAAUUAGGUGACAUAUUUUAACUCAGGCAGACAAUCUUCGGGGGCCAUGCCACCCACAACGAUAUUCUACUGUUUUUCUUAUUAUCUGUUUCCUGCUAAAUUCCAGUAUCUUGCACAUUGUUGGCAUACAAAGAUGCUCAAUAAAUGUUUGCUUUUAUUGUCCUUUUUUUGUUGGGAGCAAACUUUGAAAUCUCAAAUUUAAUACUGGGGAUGAAACCCAGGGCCUUGUGCAUACUAAGCAGGUGCUCUAUCACUGAGCUACACUCCCAGCCCCUUUUUAUCUUAUUUUUUUAUUUUAGAAAGGGUCUCACCUAGUUGCUAAGGCUGACUUUGAACUUGUGAUCCUCCAGAGAAGCUGGGAUUACAGGGUUGUUUCACCGCACCUGGCUGAGAGGCUUUUUCCUUUCACAUCUUGGCUAGGCCAGGGAUUCAGCAUCAGUCAUGCCAAUACUUGUGUCCUCUGGGCUGGGGAUGUGGCUCAAGCGGUAACACGCUCGCCUAGCAUGCGCAGGGUGCUGGGUUCGAUCGUCAGCACCACAUAAAAUAAAAUAAAGAUGUUGUGUCUGCCGAAAACUGAAAAAUAAAUAUUAAAAAUUCUCUCUUAAAAAAAAAAUACUUGUGUCCUGAGGUCUUCAAAAUGGGUUCUGAAUCCAAAGACAAAAAAUAGCCUCAGGGGGUCUGUGGCCAUUGUUGAGGAGGAGGCAGAGGGGGUGGUCACUACCAUCUGCUAACAGGGCAACAGUAGGGCCCCUGGUCUGACAGUAGCUGUG